rnacentral:rRNA from 1 species
CACUGUGGAAUUCGCCCUUCUUGGUCAUUUAGAGGAAGUAAAAGUCGUAACAAGGUUUCCGUAGGUGAACCUGCGGAAGGAUCAUUAAAGUUAGCGUGCGCUACCCAGCGCUGCUUGACACACACUGCUGAUUCUAGGGGCGACCCUAGGGGCUGCUUGCAGCCGAAACACUUUUUUAUGGAAAACACAUCAGAAUAACAUAAUAUUCAAAACUUUCAACAACGGAUCUCUUGGUUCUCGCAACGAUGAAGAACGCAGCGAAUUGCGAUAAGUAUUGUGAAUUGCAGAUUUCGUGAAUCAUCGAAUCUUUGAACGCACAUUGCGCCUUCUGGUAUUCCAGAAGGCAUGCUUGUUUGAGCGUCAUUACAAUCUCACAUCCCCUGGGUUCUCCCCUGGGGCCUGUGGUAAUGACUGGUGUGGGCCUGCCCACUAAGUUGAAAUAGCCCGCUGGCGCUACUGCCGAUACACUACGUACUAGGUUCUACCAACUCCGUCGUGUGGCACGCCGCCCCAGCGCACACAAUCACAACUUUGACCUCAAAUCAAGUAGGACUACCCGCUGAACUUAAGCAUAUCAAUAAGCGGAGGAAAAGAAACCAACAGGGAUUGCCUCAGUAACGGCGAGUGAAGCGGCAAGAGCUCAAAUUUGAAAACUGGCACCCCCGGUGCCCGUGUUGUAAUUUGAAGAGUGGUGCUUUGGGGACGGCCUUUAUCUAUGUUCCUUGGAACAGGACGUCACAGAGGGUGAGAAUCCCGUGUGGUGAGGUGCCCGGCCCUGUGUAAAGCCCGCUCGAAGAGUCGAGUUGUUUGGGAAUGCAGCUCUAAGUGGGUGGUAAAUUCCAUCUAAAGCUAAAUACUGGCGAGAGACCGAUAGCGAACAAGUACUGUGAAGGAAAGAUGAAAAGAACUUUGAAAAGAGAGUGAAAAAGUACGUGAAAUUGUUGAAAGGGAAGGAUAUUAGAUCAGACUUGGCCUGCGGUGAUUAUCUUCCCCUUGUGGGUUGUGCACUCGCCGCUUGCUGGGCUAGCAUCAGUUGGUGCGGCAGGAAAACCGUGCGAGAACGUGGCUUUCCCCCCGGGGAGAGUGUUAUAGCUCGCGCUCCUACUGCCUGCGCCGACUGAGGACUGCGUCGUUUGANCUAGGAUGCUGGCGUAAUGAUCUAAUAUCGCCCGUCUUGAAAUCACGGACCAAGGGCGAAUUCCACAUUGG